rnacentral:SRP_RNA from 1 species
CCUCGGUCCUCCCGCAACGGGGAGUUGUGAACCCCGCCAGGCCCGGAAGGGAGCAACGGUAGCAAUAUAUCUGUGUGCGGGAUGUGGCUGAGGUGG